GGAGUAGUUUUUAGUACGUAAGCGCCAUGGAUGGCGAAUCGUGCAUGCUGCUACUAAGAACCAGUAGUAUCUUUUGAAGAUUUUCUACCUCC
rfam:Glossina austeni unplaced genomic scaffold Scaffold233, whole genome shotgun sequence.